rnacentral:rRNA from 1 species
AUUGAACGCUAGCGGGAUGCUUUACACAUGCAAGUCGAACGAGUGGCGGACGGGUGAGUAAUAUCUCGGAACGUGCCCUGUAGCCGGGGAUAACUACUCGAAAUAGUGGCUAAUACCGCAUACUAUUGACGCGCCCCAUAUCGGAUUAGCUGGUUGGUGGGGUAAUGGCUCACCAAGGCAACGAUCCGUAGCUGGUUUGAGAGGAGGACCAGCCACACUGGGAAUGAAACACGGCCCAGGCUCCUGCGAGAGGCAGCAGUGGGGAAUUUUGGACAAUGGGGGAAACCCUGUUCCAGCCAUCCCGCGUGUAUGAGACGACCCUGGGGUUGUAAAGUAGUUUUGGCAGUGAUGCGGUAUCUGCAGAAUAAGCACCGGCUAACUACGUGCCAGCAGCCGCGGUAAUAC